CGGCAGCCCGAGUGGUGAUCACUAUUAUUGGGUCUAAAGGGUCCGUAGCCGGUUUGAUCAGUCUUUUGGGAAAUCUGACAGCUUAACUGUUAGGCUUCCAAAGGAUACUGUCAGACUUGGGACCGGGAGAGGUAAGAGGUACUACAGGGGUAGGAGUGAAAUCUUGUAAUCCCUGUGGGACCACCAGUGGCGAAGGCGUCUUACCAGAAUGGGUCCGACGGUGAGGGACGAAAGCUGGGGGCACGAACCGGAUUAGAGACCCGAGUAGUCC
rnacentral:rRNA from 1 species